GGAGCCCUUUAGAACUGCACAGGUUCAGUGAAGCCUUCUCUCGUUAAAAGGGUUUUUUGCUUCCCUUCCGUUCACACCUGUGGCUGUGAAGUUCAGGCCUAUUCUGGAAGGACUAGUUAAGUGGUCCUGCUUUUCUGGGGACCCUGAACAACUUGGCUCAGGCCACCAACAGCUUCCUGUGUGAUACUGCAGAAGCCUGCUGAGAUCUUCCCUUGUUCGGGAUAAUCCUUCUCCUCUGACAGUCGGCUGAUAAUUAACUCCCCGCUUUUUGCCCAAGCAAGGCCUGUUGUGACCCAAUAAUCCCGAAGGCAGUGAAGGCUCCAGGAUUUCAGACCGCUUGAGACACACUGUGAAUUCCUCCUGCAGGUGCUAUCAGUUAAUGCCUUCAUUAAACAUCAGGAUCAAAGCGACCCACAGAUGGUGUGUGAUGGAAUGGGAGUCUGUGGAGCCCCAUAAUGUUAACCACCACCAGCGCUCACAAUUUCAAAAAGUUUUGGCUUUGGGGGCACCAGCUAAGCAUGGAAGAUGGAGAACUGCCUAUGCAUGGACUGGAAGCAGGAGGAGGGCGUCAUUCAGCUCAAACCACUUUCCAGAAGUUGGACUCCACCCAGGCACCUUUCCCCACACAUUUUAAAGCAGCAUCAACCUCUGCAAAGAACUCUGUCAAGGGCUCCAAGUGUACGGCUCGACUAGGAAUUUGCUAGUGAUUGCUCAGCAACAUGACUAAGAGAAGAUGGCAAGGAUAAAGUAUCCCCCUUCAAGUAUGGCCUGGUUCACACAAUUGUUCGGAUCUAGGUUCAAUGUGGGUUAUCCGCAUUAGCAUGUUUGCAUGAACUCAUGCCAAAGUGGGAAUCUCAGAUUCGUCUCAGGCCAAAAAACACCCUGGCACGAGUUCACACAAUCACGCUGAUGUUGGUAACCUACAUUAACUAGAUUCAGAUGACUGUGUGGACCACCCCUGCUUGUAGCUGGGAGCCCACUCUGAAGCCAAGUUUAUAUAUUUGGUUAUUGCUGGGAGCCCAUGUUGAAGCCAAGUUUGUUUAUUUAAUUUGUACACUGCCCCAAAUUUGUGUCUCAGGGCAGUUCACGACAACAUAAAUUAAAACAAGAAUUAAAACAUUAAAAGUUUCAACCACAA